AUUAUGGAGAGUUUGAUCCUGGCUCAGGAUGAACGCUGGCGGCGUGCCUAAUACAUGCAAGUCGAGCGAACAGACGAGGAGCUUGCUCCUCUGACGUUAGCGGCGGACGGGUGAGUAACACG
rnacentral:rRNA from 1 species